rnacentral:rRNA from 1 species
UACGUAGGGUCCGAGCGUUGUCCGGAAUUACUGGGCGUAAAGAGCUCGUAGGUGGUUUGUCGCGUUGUUCGUGAAAACUCACAGCUCAACUGUGGGCGUGCGGGCGAUACGGGCAGACUAGAGUACUGCAGGGGAGACUGGAAUUCCUGGUGUAGCGGUGGAAUGCGCAGAUAUCAGGAGGAACACCGGUGGCGAAGGCGGGU